rnacentral:rRNA from 1 species
AUACGGAGGGUGCAAGCGUUACUCGGAAUCACUGGGCGUAAAGCGCGCGCAGGCGGUCUUUUAAGUUGGAUGUGAAAGCCUACGGCUCAACCGUAGAACUGCAUCCAAAACUAUUUAGCUAGAGUGUGGGUGAGGAAGAUGGAAUUAGUUGUGUAGGGGUAAAAUCCGUAGAGAUAACUAGGAAUACCAAAAGCGAAGGCAAUCUUCUGGAACACUACUGACGCUGAGGCGCGAAAGCGUGGGGAGCAAACAGGAUUAGAAACCCUAGUAGUCC